rnacentral:rRNA from 1 species
UAGGGAAUCUUCCACAAUGGGCGCAAGCCUGAUGGAGCUACACCGCGUGAGUGAAGAAGGGUUUCGGCUCGUAAAGCUCUGUUGUUAAAGAAGAACACGUAUGAGAGUAACUGUUCAUACGUUGACGGUAUUUAACCAGAAAGUCACGGCUAACUACGUACCAG